AACGCACAUUGCGCCCCUUGGUAUUCCGAGGGGCAUGCCUGUUCGAGCGUCAUUAUAACCACUCAAGCCUUGGCUUGGUCUUGGGGUUCGCGGUUUCGCGGCCCUUAAAAUCAGUGGCGGUGCCGUUUGGCUCUAAGCGUAGUAAUUCUCUCGCUAUAGGGUCCAGGUGACCACCUGCCAGAACCCCCCAUUCUUUACGGUUGACCUCGGAUCAGGUAGGGAUACCCGCUGAACUUAA
rnacentral:misc_RNA from 1 species